rnacentral:rRNA from 1 species
CUCUCGGGUGACGAGUGGCGGACGGGUGAGUAAUGUCUGGGAAACUGCCUGAUGGAGGGGGAUAACUACUGGAAACGGUAGCUAAUACCGCAUAACGUCGCAAGACCAAAGAGGGGGACCUUCGGGCCUCUUGCCAUCAGAUGUGCCCAGAUGGGAUUAGCUAGUAGGUGGGGUAACGGCUCACCUAGGCGACGAUCCCUAGCUGGUCUGAGAGGAUGACCAGCCACACUGGAACUGAGACACGGUCCAGACUCCUACGGGAGGCAGCAGUGGGGAAUAUUGCACAAUGGGCGCAAGCCUGAUGCAGCCAUGCCGCGUGUAUGAAGAAGGCCUUCGGGUUGUAAAGUACUUUCAGCGGGGAGGAAGGUGUUGUGGUUAAUAACCGCAGCAAUUGACGUUACCCGCAGAAGAAGCACCGGCUAACUCCGUGCCAGCAGCCGCGGUAAUACGGAGGGUGCAAGCGUUAAUCGGAAUUACUGGGCGUAAAGCGCACGCAGGCGGUCUGUCAAGUCGGAUGUGAAAUCCCCGGGCUCAACCUGGGAACUGCAUUCGAAACUGGCAGGCUAGAGUCUUGUAGAGGGGGGUAGAAUUCCAGGUGUAGCGGUGAAAUGCGUAGAGAUCUGGAGGAAUACCGGUGGCGAAGGCGGCCCCCUGGACAAAGACUGACGCUCAGGUGCGAAAGCGUGGGGAGCAAACAGGAUUAG